GACGAACGCUGGCGGCGUGCCUAACACAUGCAAGUCGAGCGGGGUCCAUCCGGUAGCAAUACCGGGGAAGACCUAGCGGCGAACGGGUGAGUAACACGUGAGAAACCUGCCCCGAAGUCUGGGAUAACCCGAGGAAACUCGAGCUAAUACCGGAUGUCUUCUUCUGAUCGCAUGGUCGGAUGAAGAAAGAUUUAUCGCUUCGGGAGGGUCUCGCGGCCUAUCAGCUAGUUGGCGGGGUAACGGCCCACCAAGGCGUCGACGGGUAGCUGGUCUGAGAGGACGAUCAGCCACACUGGGACUGAGACACGGCCCAGACUCCUACGGGAGGCAGCAGUGGGGAAUAUUGCGCAAUGGCGAAAGCCUGACGCAGCAACGCCGCGUGCGGGAUGAAGGCCUCGGUUGUAAACCGCUUUCAGUGGGACGAAGUU
rnacentral:rRNA from 1 species